rnacentral:lncRNA from 1 species
CAAUGCAUUCCAAGCACAAUGUUCCCUAAAUGAGGGCACAGCUGGCAGUUAUUGCAGGUGGUUAAAUUUUAUUAACCUGAUUGCAAAUGCCAGGCCUGUUUUAUGUGUCUUGCAGAACAACGUGGAAAAGGCACAUUCCGAACAAAGCUGCCUGCCUCAUUCAUGUCCCCCCUUUUGUGGCCUUAAGUAGUGCAAGUAGUUUCCUACAGAAAAUUACUACAGGGAACUGCGGUGCUACGAUAAUUCAGGGAAUGAGAUAAUCAUUCCCUAAGUCACCAUGGG